rnacentral:rRNA from 1 species
GACGAACGCUGGCGGCGUGCCUAAUACAUGCAAGUCGAACGAACUCUGGUAUUGAUUGGUGCUUGCAUCAUGAUUUACAUUUGAGUGAGUGGCGAACUGGUGAGUAACACGUGGGAAACCUGCCCAGAAGCGGGGGAUAGCACCUGGAAACAGAUGCUAAUACCGCAUAACAACUUGGACCGCAUGGUCCGAGUUUGAAAGAUGGCUUCGGCUAUCACUUUUGGAUGGUCCCGCGGCGUAUUAGCUAGAUGGUGGGGUAACGGCUCACCAUGGCAAUGAUACGUAGCCGACCUGAGAGGGUAAUCGGCCACAUUGGGACUGAGACACGGCCCAAACUCCUACGGGAGGCAGCAGUAGGGAAUCUUCCACAAUGGACGAAAGUCUGAUGGAGCAACGCCGCGUGAGUGAAGAAGGGUUUCGGCUCGUAAAACUCUGUUGUUAAAGAAGAACAUAUCUGAGAGUAACUGUUCAGGUAUUGACGGUAUUUAACCAGAAAGCCACGGCUAACUACGUGCCAGCAGCCGCGGUAAUACGUAGGUGGCAAGCGUUGUCCGGAUUUAUUGGGCGUAAAGCGAGCGCAGGCGGUUUUUUAAGUCUGAUGUGAAAGCCUUCGGCUCAACCGAAGAAGUGCAUCGGAAACUGGGAAACUUGAGUGCAGAAGAGGACAGUGGAACUCCAUGUGUAGCGGUGAAAUGCGUAGAUAUAUGGAAGAACACCAGUGGCGAAGGCGGCUGUCUGGUCUGUAACUGACGCUGAGGCUCGAAAGUAUGGGUAGCAAACAGGAUUAGAUACCCUGGUAGUCCAUACCGUAAACGAUGAAUGCUAAGUGUUGGAGGGUUUCCGCCCUUCAGUGCUGCAGCUAACGCAUUAAGCAUUCCGCCUGGGGAGUACGGCCGCAAGGCUGAAACUCAAAGGAAUUGACGGGGGCCCGCACAAGCGGUGGAGCAUGUGGUUUAAUUCGAAGCUACGCGAAGAACCUUACCAGGUCUUGACAUACUAUGCAAAUCUAAGAGAUUAGACGUUCCCUUCGGGGACAUGGAUACAGGUGGUGCAUGGUUGUCGUCAGCUUGUGUCGUGAGAUGUUGGGUUAAGUCCCGCAACGAGCGCAACCCUUAUUAUCAGUUGCCAGCAUUAAGUUGGGCACUCUGGUGAGACUGCCGGUGACAAACCGGAGGAAGGUGGGGAUGACGUCAAAUCAUCAUGCCCCUUAUGACCUGGGCUACACACGUGCUACAAUGGAUGGUACAACGAGUUGCGAACUCGCGAGAGUAAGCUAAUCUCUUAAAGCCAUUCUCAGUUCGGAUUGCAGGCUGCAACUCGCCUACAUGAAGUCGGAAUCGCUAGUAAUCGCGGAUCAGCAUGCCGCGGUGAAUACGUUCCCGGGUCUUGUACACACCGCCCGUCACACCAUGAGAGUUUGUAACACCCAAAGUCGGUGGGGUAACCUUUUAGGAACCAGCCGCCUAAGGUGGGACAGAUGAUUAGGGUG